AUCAGCACUCUCUCUGUUUCUCUCUCUUCCUCUUUCUCUCCUCUCCUCUCUCGCCGGGGCGGAACUCACUGUGGGUUCACGCCCUCGGCCCACGCCCUCGGGAGAUGAGACACCUGGGUCUCAUCAAGGUGAUCAGCAUUUAAGCCAGGAGGUGACUGCUGUUCGUCGCUGGAUCGUUGUCUACCACGCAGCUUCCUGGAUUUUUCCCCCGUGUGAUUCCCGUGUGGCAGUGUCGGAGUGUGAGCCUGUGAUCGUGUGAGUGGAUAAUCUGAAGAACGCGUGCUUUCCCCUGGACCUCCCUGGAGACCCUUCUCCCCUCACUCAGCUGUAUAUAGCACCCCCCGCACAUUCUUGUAUAUACACCUGGUGAAUUGUAAAUAAACCCUUCUUGUGAGCAUCAGAACCGGAGUCCUGCGCUUGAGUCCUCCUCCAAACCGUAACAAUAACGAUCCAGCCAUCAUGGACUCAGCGGACUCAAAUCCCACCCAGCAACCUGUCCUCACCCCGGAGGCAAUUCUGGAACGCCACGAACACAUGCUUCGGCACAUAAAUCAACAACUGGCUGCACUCACUCAAGUCCUCGCUCAACAUCUACCAUCGGUAAGCCCACCCUCACCCCCUCCGUCUGUUUCUCCUCAGCUAUCGGCCCCGAAUCCAUCUGCAGCCGCUCCGCCUGUUUCCCCCGCACCGGCUUCCACUGAACCUCCAGAGCGAUCGUUACCAGCGCCGGAGCCUUUCUCGGAUAGAUGAGCACCUACGGGCGCGUCGGGGAACCGGAAACUACAUUUCCCAGAGGCCCCCGGGGCGCAUGGAGACGACGUCAGGUGGAGGCGCGCUUAGCGGCAGUCACGCAUCGGAUAGCAUGGAGGAAAGUGAACAGCCCAUGCAACUGGGCCGCUCCAGACUGUCGCCCGAGGAGCGGUAUCGUCGCAGGAGAGCCGGUGAGUGCUUUUAUUGUGGCCGCAAGGGCCAUAUUGCCAUGGAUUGCCCAGCUCGGCCAAAAGACAGCGCCCGCCAGUAGUGAGGAGUGUACGGGUGGGCGAGGUCACCUGUUCUCAGUCUCCUCCUCGUCUCAUGAUUGCAGCUAAGCUAACGGUUCGUCUCAAGACUCAUUCUCUCGACGCUCUGAUCGAUUCCGGGGCAGAACAGAAUUUUAUUGAUGCCUCGCUGGCGCUCAAAUUAGGUUUUAUCACGGAGCCUCUGUCUCAUUCACUCCAAGUCACAGCCCUUAGUGGCCAGCGUCUUCCAGACAUUACUCAUAUCACAGAACCAGUUUCCCUGACUCUUUCUGGCAAUCAUGUUGAAACCAUACAGUUGUACGUCUUUAAAGCCCCACUCACACCACUAGUCUUAGGCUAUCCCUGGCUAUGUCAACAUAACCCUGUGAUUGAUUGGAGGAAAGAAAGUAUUUCGGGGUGGGGGGAGGAGUGUCACAUGUCCUGUUUGAAAGCCGCCACCCCCGCCAUGAGCCUAUCACCCAAUAGAACUGUUGCAGAACCGCCUGAUCUGUCCUCCAUACCAUCUGUUUAUCAUGACCUAGCGCAAGUGUUUUGUAAAGAUAAGGCACGCUCCCUCCCCCCUCAACGGCCGUAUGAUUGUGGGAUUGACCUCCUCCCAGGCGCGCCACUCCCGACCAGUAGGUUGUACAGCC